CCUACGGGUGGCAGCAGUGGGGAAUAUUGCACAAUGGGGGAAACCCUGAUGCAGCGACGCCGCGUGAGUGAAGAAGUAGUUCGUUAUGUAAAGCUCUAUCAGCAGGGAAGAAAAUGACGGUACCUGAGUAAGAAGCCCCGGCUAACUACGUGCCAGCAGCCGCGGUAAUACGUAGGGGGCAAGCGUUAUCCGGAUUUACUGGGUGUAAAGGGAGCGUAGACGGCAGUGCAAGUCUGGAGUGAAAGGCGGGGGCUCAACCCCCGGACUGCUCUGGAAACUGUACGGCUGGAGUGCAGGAGAGGUAAGUGAAAUUCCUAGUGUGGAGGUGAAAUGCGUAGAUAUUAGGAGGAACACCAGGGGAGAGGGGGGCUUACUGGACUGUAACUGACGUGGAGGCUCGAAGGCGUGGGGAGCAAACAGGAUUAGAGACCUUUGUAGUC
rnacentral:rRNA from 1 species